rnacentral:rRNA from 1 species
UGGGGAAUAUUGGACAAUGGGCGCAAGCCUGAUCCAGCAAUGCCGCGUGUGUGAAGAAGGCCUGCGGGUUGUAAAGCACUUUCAGUCGGGAAGAAAAGCGCAGUGCUAAUACCACGGCGUCUUGACGUUACCGACACAAGAAGCACCGGCUAACUCCGUGCCAGCAGCCGCGGUAAUACGGAGGGUGCAAGCGUUAAUCGGAAUCACUGGGCGUAAAGCGCACGUAGGCGGCCAAGUCAGUCAGCUGUGAAAGCCCUGGGCUUAACCUGGGAACUGCAGUUGAAACUGCUCGGCUCGAGUCCGAAAGAGGGGGGUGGAAUUCCAGGUGUAGCGGUGAAAUGCGUAGAGAUCUGGAGGAACACCAGUGGCGAACGCGGCCCCCUGGUUCGAGACUGACGCUGAGGU